rnacentral:rRNA from 1 species
AUUGAACGCUGGCGGAAUGCUUUACACAUGCAAGUCGAACGGCAGCACGGACUUCGGUCUGGUGGCGAGUGGCGAACGGGUGAGUAAUGUAUCGGAACGUGCCCUGUCGUGGGGGAUAACGUAGUGAAAAUUACGCUAAUACCGCAUACGAUCUAUGGAUGAAAGCGGGGGAUCGCAAGACCUCGCGCGAUUGGAGCGGCCGAUAUCAGAUUAGGUAGUUGGUGGGGUAAAGGCCCACCAAGCCAACGAUCUGUAGAUGGUCUGAGAGGACGACCGGCCACACUGGAACUGAGACACGGUCCAGACUCCUACGGGGGGCAGCAGUGGGGAAUUUUGGACAAUGGGCGAAAGCCUGAUCCAGCCAUUCCGCGUGCAGGAUGAAGGCCCUCGGGUUGUAAACUGCUUUUGUACAGAACGAAAAGGUUUCUACUAAUACUAGGAGCUCAUGACGGUACUGUAAGAAUAAGCACCGGCUAACUACGUGCCAGCCGCCGCAGUAA